rnacentral:rRNA from 1 species
CUACGGGACGCUGCAGUGAGGAAUAUUGCACAAUGGGGUGAACCCUGAUGCAGCAACGCCGCGUGGAGGAUGACGCAUUUCGGUGUGUAAACUCCUUUUAUGAGUCAAGAAAAUGACGGUAGCUCAUGAAUAAGCACCGGCUAACUCCGUGCCAGCAGCCGCGGUAAUACGGAGGGUGCAAGCGUUACUCGGAAUCACUGGGCGUAAAGGACGCGUAGGCGGGUUGUCAAGUCAGGUGUGAAAUCCUACAGCUUAACUGUAGAACUGCACUUGAAACUGGCAGCCUAGAGUAUGGGAGGGGGAGAUGGAAUUAGUGGUGUAGGGGUAAAAUCCGUAGAUAUCACUAGGAAUACCUAAAGCGAAGGCGAUCUCCUGGAACAUUACUGACGCUAAGGCGUGAAAGCGUGGGGAGCAAACAGGAUUAGAUACCCGCGUAGUC